rfam:Medicago truncatula strain A17 chromosome 4, whole genome shotgun sequence.
GGUGCGAUGAUGAGAUUAAAACACCAAGGAAGUGUUUGUGGGCAGUGGACAUAAUUAUAAUGGUUUUGCCGUGAGCCUAUUUUUAAAACGACUUCUCCUUCCACUGAGCACC